rnacentral:rRNA from 1 species
AACGUAGGUGGCGAGCGUUAUCCGGAAUUACUGGGCGUAAAGCGUGCGCAGGCGGUUUGUUAAGACAGAUGUGAAAUCCCCGGGCUUAACCUGGGAACUGCGUUUGUAACUGGCAAGCUAGAGUGUGGCAGAGGGGGGUGGAAUUCCACGUGUAGCAGUGAAAUGCGUAGAGAUGUGGAGGAACACCGAUGGCGAAGGCAGCCCCCUGGGCUAACACUGACGCUCAUGCACGAAAGCGUGGGGAGCAAACAGG